GUUUUCGGUUUGCUUUAUUUCACAGGUUUGCAGAACACACUCAGCUCAGUGUCUUGCGGUACUUGCUUUGUCCAUUUCUUGUGUAUUUUUAUCGUGUUUGAUGUUCCCUCUUGGAACUGCCUUCAGUUUCCUGGAAGUUUCUCAUCGUUGCAGGUCUCCAAAGCGUCUUCAGACUGACUCAGAAAUUCAUCAAAACCAGUUUCAUCCAAUGUGUGGGCACAUCACGGAUGUAUACUUUUAAGUCUUUUAAAAAUAUUUUCUAUGAUAUUUUUAAUAUUCUGAAAAUUUACAUAUGAUCGAUGUUCUUGUUUCAGCUUCUUGGUUAAGUUUGGUUUUGUUUCUGACUUUGUCUGCAGCCUGAGGAAGCUCCCGGGUCAGGGAUUGAACCCGAGCCACAGCAGCAGCGACCUGAGCCCCUGCAGUGACAACACUGGAUCCUUCGCCUGUUGCACCACAAGAGAACCCCUAAGGGUUUCUGGUUUGGGGAGAGGAAUUAAAGAAACAGUCAUUCCGACUGUUGCUUUGACAACUUACUGAUGGGGUGAUUUUUGUUUGUUAAUGCAGAGCAGGAAACGCCCGGCUCGAGGAAGCACCAGUUUCCAAGGACAGACGUGGCAGGCGCAUCCGGGGCGGCCUUGCCUGAAUCUCCCUGUGGAGUGUGGGCAAGUGUUUGUGAAAGGAAUGCGAAGAGCACAUGUAACCGCUUCAUGGUGAUCUUUUCUUUCCGAAAGUUUUGGCUUUUCCUCCUUCACCUUAGACUCCGUUCCUGAUUUUAUUGGCCUGGGGAGCAGGCACCUCACUUCUCAGCUGUAGUUCAGUGAAGACAACUACUUGCUCCCCAGUGGGCAGGCACGUCCCUCGCUGCAGCUCUGGUCCACACCUGCUGCUCCCGCGUCGCCAGCCAUUGGCGCUGCCCGUGUCUGCACCUCCCCAGGCUGUGCUCCUUGGCAUCCCCCCGCCACCUGCAGACCUUGCUCGUCACUCUGUGCCCCAAGGCCCUGUGCGGCCGGCCGAGCUCCCGCCUCCCACGCCUGGCCCCGGCCUCUGUGGGCGUUUGCUCCUGGACCCCGCCAGCCCAUCAGCAUGCUUGGCCCGGCAGCUCCCCGGCCUGGGGCCUCCCCAGGCCCUUCCACCCAGCCCUCGCCCCCCAGGCCUGCGUCCAGCCGGCCUCCCCAUGAAGCUCUGCUAGUGAUGCCGCUUCCCGCUGGCCGCCCUGCAACCUUUAAGGUUCAUCGGGAGCCGCCGAGCCUCUCCUGACCUCACCCUCUGGCUCAGGGUUGCCCUGUGGUCCUCUGGGACCUGCAGACCAGCACCCGUGCCCAUCACCAUGGGCCCCCACGCCCCCCACACCUGGGCACCGUGCCUGCUCCUCACGGCUCCCCACGCAGCACCCUCAUCCCUGCGCUGCAGCAAAGGCCACACUUUCUGUGGUUUUCUGUGUGAAAUGCGCCUUCUUGAUCUCCUGUGAGGCAGUCUCAGGCCGAGAAGGCAAAGAAGGUCAUGUCCAAAACCCAGCACGGUGAUCUUGCAAGAGGCGGGAACGGAAAAAUUCAAGAAACAUUCUAAUCCAAUGUCUUUGAUUCUUGGGUUAAAAAAAAGAUUUCAUAAG
rnacentral:lncRNA from 1 species